GACGAACGCUGGCGGCGUGCCUAAUACAUGCAAGUCGAACGCAGUUGCGAACGGGUGAGUAACGCGUAGGUAACUGCCUUAUAGCGGGGGAUAACUAAUGGAAACGAUAGACAAUACAGCAUACUGUGAGCUGGACCUGCGUUGUAUUAGGUAGUUGGUGAGGUAAAGGGUCACCAAGGCGACGAUACAGAGCCGACCUGAGAGGGGGAGCGGCAACACUUGGAACGAGACACGGCCCAGACGCCUGCGGGAGGCAGCAGUAGGGAAUCAUCGGAAAUGGGCGGAAGUCUGGCCGAGCAACGGCGCGGUGGUUAAGAAGGGUUUCGGAUCGUAAAGCUCUGUUGGUAGAGAAGCGUUAACUAACCAGAAAGGGACGGCUAACUACGUGCCAGCAGCCGCGGUAAUAC
rnacentral:rRNA from 1 species